rnacentral:rRNA from 1 species
UACGUAGGGCGCAAGCGUUGUCCGGAAUUAUUGGGCGUAAAGGGCUCGUAGGCGGUCUGUUGCGUCGGGAGUGAAAACUUACAGCUUAACUGUGAGCGUGCUUUCGAUACGGGCAGACUUGAGGCAUUCAGGGGAGAACGGAAUUCCUGGUGUAGCGGUGAAAUGCGCAGAUAUCAGGAGGAACACCGGUGGCGAAGGCGGUUCUCUGGGAAUGUCCUGACGCUGAGGAGCGAAAGUGUGGGGAGCGAACAGG